rnacentral:rRNA from 1 species
GUCGGCAGGCCUAACACAUGCAAGUCGAACGGUAACAGGAAACAGCUUGCUGUUUCGCUGACGAGUGGCGGACGGGUGAGUAAUGUCUGGGAAACUGCCUGAUGGAGGGGGAUAACUACUGGAAACGGUAGCUAAUACCGCAUAACGUCGCAAGACCAAAGAGGGGGACCUUCGGGCCUCUUGCCAUCGGAUGUGCCCAGAUGGGAUUAGCUUGUUGGUGGGGUAACGGCUCACCAAGGCGACGAUCCCUAGCUGGUCUGAGAGGAUGACCAGCCACACUGGAACUGGGACACGGUCCAGACUCCUACGGGAGGCAGCAGUGGGGAAUAUUGCACAAUGGGCGCAAGCCUGAUGCAGCCAUGCCGCGUGUAUGAAGAAGGCCUUCGGGUUGUAAAGUACUUUCAGCGGGGAGGAAGGGAGUAAAGUUAAUACCUUUGCUCAUUGACGUUACCCGCAGAAGAAGCACCGGCUAACUCCGUGCCAGCAGCCGCGGUAAUACGGAGGGUGCAAGCGUUAAUCGGAAUUACUGGGCGUAAAGCGCACGCAGGCGGUUUGUUAAGUCAGAUGUGAAAUCCCCGGGCUCAACCUGGGAACUGCAUCUGAUACUGGCAAGCUUGAGUCUCGUAGAGGGGGGUAGAAUUCCAGGUGUAGCGGUGAAAUGCGUAGAGAUCUGGAGGAAUACCGGUGGCGAAGGCGGCCCCCUGGACGAAGACUGACGCUCAGGUGCGAAAGCGUGGGGAGCAAACAGGAUUAGAUACCCUGGUAGUCCACGCCGUAAACGAUGUCGACUUGGAGGUUGUGCCCUUGAGGCGUGGCUUCCGGAGCUAACGCGUUAAGUCGACCGCCUGGGGAGUACGGCCGCAAGGUUAAAACUCAAAUGAAUUGACGGGGGCCCGCACAAGCGGUGGAGCAUGUGGUUUAAUUCGAUGCAACGCGAAGAACCUUACCUGGUCUUGACAUCCACGGAAGUUUUCAGAGAUGAGAAUGUGCCUUCGGGAACCGUGAGACAGGUGCUGCAUGGCUGUCGUCAGCUCGUGUUGUGAAAUGUUGGGUUAAGUCCCGCAACGAGCGCAACCCUUAUCCUUUGUUGCCAGCGGUCCGGCCGGGAACUCAAAGGAGACUGCCAGUGAUAAACUGGAGGAAGGUGGGGAUGACGUCAAGUCAUCAUGGCCCUUACGACCAGGGCUACACACGUGCUACAAUGGCGCAUACAAAGAGAAGCGACCUCGCGAGAGCAAGCGGACCUCAUAAAGUGCGUCGUAGUCCGGAUUGGAGUCUGCAACUCGACUCCAUGAAGUCGGAAUCGCUAGUAAUCGUGGAUCAGAAUGCCACGGUGAAUACGUUCCCGGGCCUUGUACACACCGCCCGUCACACCAUGGGAGUGGGUUGCAAAAGAAGUAGGUAGCUUAACCUUCGGGAGGGCGCUUACCACUUUGUGAUUCAUGACUGGGGUG